rnacentral:rRNA from 1 species
GAUGAACGCUGGCGGCGUGCUUAACACAUGCAAGUCGAACGAAGCACCUUGGAAUGCGUCUUCGGACAAAUGAAUUGGUGACUUAGUGGCGGACGGGUGAGUAACGCGUGGGUAACCUGCCUCACACAGGGGGAUAACAGUUAGAAAUGACUGCUAAAACCGCAUAACAUGGCGAGACCGCAUGACCUUGCCAUCAAAUAUUUAUAGGUGUGAGAUGGGCCCGCGUCUGAUUAGCUAGUUGGUGGGGUAAUGGCCCACCAAGGCGACGAUCAGUAGCCGGCUUGAGAGAGUGAACGGCCACAUUGGGACUGAGACACGGCCCAAACUCCUACGGGAGGCAGCAGUGGGGGAUAUUAGACAAUGGGGGAAACCCUGAUCUAGCCAUGCCGCGUGAGCGAUGAAGGCCUUAGGGUUGUAAAGCUCUUUCAGUGGGGAAGAUAAUGACGGUACCCACAGAAGAAGCCCCGGCUAACUCCGUGCCAGCAGCCGCGGUAACAC